rnacentral:rRNA from 1 species
UACGUAGGGUGCAAGCGUUAAUCGGAAUUACUGGGCGUAAAGCGUACGCAGGCGGCUAUGUAAGACAGGUGUGAAACUCCCCGGGCUUAACCUGGGAACUGCAUUUGUGACUGCAUAGCUAGAGUCUGUCAGAGGGGGGUGGAAUUCCACGUGUAGCAGUGAAAUGCGUAGAGAUGUGGAGGAAUACCGAUGGCGAAGGCAGCCCCCCUGGGAUAACACUGACGCUCAUGCACGAAAGCGUGGGGAGCAAACAGG